GACGAACGCUGGCGGCGUGCUUAACACAUGCAAGUCGAACAGAAAGGCCCUGCUUUUGUGGGGUGCUCGAGUGGCGAACGGGUGAGUAACACGUGAGUAACCUGCCCUUGACUUUGGGAUAACUUCAGGAAACUGGGGCUAAUACCGGAUAGGAGCUCCUGCUGCAUGGUGGGGGCUGGAAAGUUUCGGCGGUUGGGGAUGGACUCGCGGCUUAUCAGCUUGUUGGUGGGGUAGUGGCUUACCAAGGCUUUGACGGGUAGCCGGCCUGAGAGGGUGACCGGCCACAUUGGGACUGAGAUACGGCCCAGACUCCUACGGGAGGCAGCAGUGGGGAAUAUUGCACAAUGGGCGGAAGCCUGAUGCAGCAACGCCGCGUGCGGGAUGACGGCCUUCGGGUUGUAAACCGCUUUCGCCUGUGACGAAGCGUGAGUGACGGUAAUGGGUAAAGAAGCACCGGCUAACUACGUG
rnacentral:rRNA from 1 species